UUUGUUGGAUGGCUUGUGACGGAUUUCAAUUUCCGGAUUUGAAAUUUUAAAAGGAAGAACUAAUAAGGCACAUAUUUCCGAGCAGUAGUGAAUCUUCUUGGGUUCCGCUUACAGAAGUUCGUGAUGAUAUAGAGGAUGCUAAGCUAAAACAUAAGGUAAGCAUGUUUGGCUGCUUGCGUGUCUGUAUGUCUUUUCAAGGCUGCUUGCGUGUCUGCGUGUCUUUUCAAGUUAAGUGCAUAAUUACUAUUGCUUCUUUUUUCUUGUUGGGGAGAUUUCGAAGUAGUCAAAAAAUGAAGUGUUUUUGUAGAGAUGGGUAAGACCUUAGAAACCUGACGAAGUUGGAUAAAAAUAAAGGAAAGCUUAAAUGUCUGCCUUGAGAGAUUACAGAGUUUCAGGUUAUAUUAUUGCAUUACAACUGCAUAUGACAUGAAACUAAACAUUCACUAGCAUAUUUAAAAUGGAUUUUGUUAGUAAUGAGAUUCUUUAGGCUUGGCAUUGAUUCUAUAACACAAGGACCUUUGAUGCUGUCAUAAAUGGUGUCAGUUUUCUGCAUUUUUCACCUCUUUGUUUAGCAUAGUUGAAAGCCCUACGUUUGAUUUUUUAUAUCAUUCAUUUGGUAGUAUUUGUCCUGAAUUUUUUUAAAUUCAUUUUUCUUAUAUUCUGUGACUUCUUUUAUGUUGCUAUAAUAUUUUUCAAGUGAAUAUGACAACACUUGAUGAAACUAGGAUUCUUUUGGGGUAAGUGGUUUAAUCAUUGUUAGAUUAAAAUUACAUAAAUUAUUUUAUCAAGAGUUGAUAUUUAUCAUUUUUUCUAAAUUAUUGAACCUUUUACCGGUUUGACUAUUGAAGUUGCAAGUUAAGAUAUACGUUUUGAAGACAUGCAAGCUAAUUAUCAAUCUUUUGCUAGGAAUGUUGUGCAAACAUUUAUAUCAAUGUCUAGCUAGGUAUUUUGCAAAGGGAAAGACCAAAUAUUGUAAUUUACCAAUAGAUGUUAAUAUUGUUUUUUGUGAUUAAUUACAAUAUACUAUAUUUCAGAGCAUGAGUUAUGUUUA